GGCCGCGGCUCGCCACGCCCCCUCGGCGGGCCCGGCGGGGCGGGGCCGGGCCGGGCGGCGCAUGCGGAGUGUUUGGGGUGCUCGGGGCUUUCCCGGCCCGGGCCGGGGCUGCCGGCGGGGGAGAGGUUGCAGCCAAGGAAAGCAUCUCCGAGUGCGGGCACCGGGCACCGCAAAAACAUCCACGCGUCUUUUCCUGGCCGCUCGGGACGCCGCUUCACGGUGCCCCCAGCCCGAGCUGUCCGACCGUGCUCUUCACCUCCUGUCAGUCAGGGUGAACUUGCUCGCCUUGUUUGUGCUCCGGCGGGUCGGUUUUGACUUACCCCUGUGGUAUGUGGAAGCGCCGACUCCAAUAAACUAUUAACUCUUUCCCGUGCUGCCAUCGGGCUACUUUUUGCCGGGACGGCUCCGCUGCCCUUUUAAGGAAAAGCCGGAACCGGGCUCCCGAGUGCGAUGCACAUGUGGGGUCACAGCCCCCGGGGGCCCCGCCGAACCUGCACUCCUCACGGCCCGGCGCACGGCCGGGACAUCCCGCGGGGGGAGUGGUGCCCGCUCGCCUCAGGGGUUCCUUUGUCACGCCGCCCGCUGCCGUCGCGUCCGCGCUCCUCUCCGCGGAGCCCGCUCCAUCUUCCCGCCGGGCUCGGUGCCCCGCUCCAGCCGCUGGGCAUCGCACCUUGCUUGUCGCCACACCGCACCUCUGCCCGCCACCGCCACCCGCAGCUGCUCCGCGGGCGGGAUGUUUGGGGAGAAUCCGAGCGCCGGCCUUCCACCGGAGCGUGGUUCCCGGCGCUUUCCCCGACGAUCGGAUGCCGGCUUGAUCGACUUCCCUUCGCACGGUGCCGGCGGGAUCGCGCCCGGAUUCAGCUCAGGGGAAGGCAAGAGCGUGGUUCAUACAUUCCCGGCGGCAGCCAUGAGCAGGGGUAUCAGUCACCGGUUCCACGUCACGUUCAGCUGUCCGAAGUUGCUGGGCAGGCUGGAAUCCUAAGCACACCAACAGGUUGGCAGGCUGAUCGUUCUGCUUCCAUGGAGCUUGGCAGGUUUGUGAGCACUCCCAAGUCUUUUUCCUCUUGUGUAGUCCAGUACACCUGUAGAGAGAAAGGGAGUUUUACCCCGUGA
ensembl:lncRNA